rnacentral:rRNA from 1 species
AGUUAUAUUUCUUGUUUAUAUUUGUUAAAUAUUUAUAUUAUAAAUGAAAAAUAAUUUUGAAAUAAAAAUAAUAGUAAUUUUUAAUGAAAAUUUAAGGACUAAAAAGGAUGAGUACUGUAAAGGAAAGAUAAGUAGAUUAUAUUAAAAUAUAAAGAAAAAAUUAAAUUUUGUACCUUGUGUAUUAGGGAAAUUUUAUAUAGUUGAAAUAAUAUUUAGGUCUCGAAAUAAAAAUAGUUAAUUUUAUAAUAAAGUUUUUGUAGGAUACAAAUUUUGAAUUUAAAAUUAAAGAUGAAAUGUUAAACGAGUUUUAUUAUAUCUGGUUUUUUAAAAUAAAAAUUUAAUUUAGUUUUUAUAUAUAUAUAUAAUAUAAAAAAAUAAAAUAGAAAGGAUAAGCUUUUUAUUAUAAUAGUAUGAAAUAGUAAAUUAUUGCAAAUAUUAAUUGAUCUAAAUUUAAAAGUAGUUAUGUUAAUAAAGUGUUUUAACUAAAUUAUUGGUUGUUAUAAGUUACUUUUCGUUAAUAUUAAAAAUUUAUUUGAAAUAAAGUAUAAUAAGAUAAAAUGAUUUUAUUAGUAGAAUAAUUAAUUGUUAAGUAUAUAGUGUGAAAUAAAAUUAUAAUUGUUAAUUGUAGGUAGAUAAUUUAAAGGAAUUCGGCAAAAUAUUUUCUUGCCUGUUUAUCAAAAACAUGUCUAUUUGGAGAUAUAAAAAGUCUGACCUGCUCACUGAUUAAAAAGGUUUAAGAGCCGCGGUAUUAUGACCGUGCAAAGGUAGCAUAAUCAUUAGGUUUUUAAAUGGGAUCUUGUAUGAAUGGUCGGACAAAGGAGAUACUGUCUUUAUAUUAAAUUUUAAAUUUUACUUUUAAGUGAGAAGGCUUAAAUAUGUUAAGGGGACGAUAAGACCCUAUAAAACUUUACAUUAAAAUUAUAUUUUAUUAAAUUUAUAAAUAAAGGUAUAGUAUAAUUAAUUGUUGUGUUGGGGAGACAAGAGUAAAAUUUUUAUUAACUGCUUAGUAAAUAAACAUUAUCUAUGUAUUACUAAUUAAUAGAUCCUGAUUAUAGAUUUAAAGAUUAAGUUACUUUAGGGAUAACAGUGUAAUUUUAUUUGAGAGUUCAUAUCGAAAAAAGAGUUUGCAACCUCGAUGUUGAAUUAAAUUGUCUUUAUAAUGUAGCUGUUAUAUUAGAAGGUCUGUUCGACCUUUAAUUUUUU